UUAAGUCAAGUAUGGAGUUGGAACGUUUGCCUACGUUUGCCGCUAGGGGCGCUGCUCCAACUGCAUACAAAUGUGAGUUA
rnacentral:pre_miRNA from 1 species